UUUUCAAAUUUAGCCGACCGCCCUGCGUAUCCGGCUCUCUUUUUUGGCUGGCGUUCAGCACGUUCGGUGCAUUAAAUUGCACAUUAUAAAAAUUCAUACUGGGAAUGAACGCAACAAAACUUCACCACUUUAGUAGAAAAAAAUAAAGAAAGUGGUGAUAUGCGUGAAUCCUUACAUCCGGUCGUAGGCGGAAUAUAAAAUUGUGGAGCCAAGUAAGUUUCUUCUUUUUUAUCACCAUCAGUCAGUCCACGUGACCAAACAAAAUUUCUAGUGUCUCAUUUUUUUCCUUCCGGAUAAAGACGAAUCAAAAAAAUUACCUGAUUUAUAUUCAUUCUUGGGAGUCUCAUGCGUAAGUAUGUGUGUGUGCAGGCAAGCUGCAUCCAUUGAAACAUUUUAUUCACACACACAUGCAUGAAGUAGUUGCAGUCGUGGAAACGUACAUGAAGGGUGCGCAACGCCGUUAAUUUACCUACACCGGCCAUUCAUGCUUUCGUAGAGUUAUAGAUCCCUAUGUGACUUUGCAGUGUAUCGUUGCGGCUCAUUCACUUAAUUCAAUUCACAAAAUUUUCCAAUCGGACAAAUAAAUGACAGAGAUUUGGUGGAUUAACCCACAAUCGUACAAAUAAUCCAUGAGUGGGACUCGUGAAUAUCGUUGGAACAAAUGGAAAACGCAAAUCGUGGAAACAAAUAUUUGUUUACCUUUCUUACAAUGGUAACUUCGGUAGAUCCCUAAUCGUUUGGUUGAAUUUUUUAAGCGCUCUUACAUUUUCGUGAAACUUUUUAAAUCAUUUUUGAAAAUUAACUUGUCCCAGCAGGUAUUCCAUCAGAUGUCACCCACUCUGUUGAUACCUGCAACAAAUUCAAUAGCACCAAUGGAACAAGGAAGAACUUUAGCACAUAAUCAGCAGCCAGUUUCAACCAAUGGCUUAAACAAAAACAACAAUUAUGGCAAACGUCUAAGGUUAGAAGACUCUACACCACCAACUGAUGUUGACAUAUCGGGGUUCAAAUAUGAUCCUAAUAACCAGAACAGGUAUGCAAAGUUUGCAGAUCUGGAAUUUGAAUAUAUUCAACAAGCACCGCAAACCAAUAACAUCGAUCCGGAAAAGUCACCAAAAAAAGGAAAGACGUCUUUUUACCCACCAAUAUUUUUAUAUAAUAUUAAUGUCCUACUCCUAAUUAAACAAUUAGAAGAAAGAUCGCCACCAAUUAAUUUCAAAAUCAAAAAUGUUGGUACAAAUAAAUGUAAAUUAUAUCUAUGUGAUCCCACAGCCAACACUACAAUGCUAGAUACUCUUCGUGAAAAGUCUGUCCACGCGUACUCGUUUACACCGAAAGAAUUAAAGCAGGUGUCAUUUAUAUUAAGGGGACUUUGUCAAGGCGUUGAAGCUGAAUACGUCAAAAUGCCUUGGAUGAGGUAUUGCCUGAAGUUAUUUCCAAGGUAUCAAAAUUCAAAACUUCUAGAUCAAUAAAAAAUAAUUUGGAUACAGGUCU